UACGAAGGUUGCUAGCGUUGUUCGGAAUCACUGGGCUUAAAGCGCAUGUAGGCGGCCCAAUAAGUGCCUUGUGAAAUCCCCCGGCUCAACCGGGGAAUGGCUUGGCAUACUGUUCGGGCUUGAGGUAGGUAGGGGCGCGUGGAACUCUUGGUGGAGCGGUGGAAUGCGUAGAUAUCAAGAGGAACGCCGGUGGCGAAAGCGACGCGCUGGGCCUGUCCUGACGCUGAGAUGCGAAAGCCAGGGGAGCAAACGGG
rnacentral:rRNA from 1 species